UUGCACAAUGGGGGAAACCCGUACGAUGCAGCCAUGCCGCGUGUGUGAAGAAGGCCUUCGGGUUGUAAAGCACUUUCAGUAGGGAGGAAGGUAGUGUAGUUAACACCUGCAUUAUUUGACGUUACCUACAGAAGAAGCACCGGCUAACUCCGUGCCAGCAGCCGCGGUAAUACGGAGGGUGCGAGCGUUAAUCGGAAUUACUGGGCGUAAAGCGCAUGCAGGCGGCCUGUUAAGUCAGAUGUGAAAGCCCGGGGCUUAACCUCGGAAUUGCAUUUGAAACUGGCAGGCUAGAGUCUUGUAGAGGGGGGUAGGAAUUUCAGGUGUAGCGGUGAAAUGCGUAGAGAUCUGAAGGAAUACCAGUGGCGAAGGCGGCCCCCUGGACAAAGACUGACGCUCAGAUGCGAAAGCGUGGGGAGCAAACAGGAUUAGAUACCCUGGUAG
rnacentral:rRNA from 1 species